UUCCUGUGCGGCCAAACCAGAGACGGUGGCCAAGGUUUGUGAAAUUGUGAAGGAGCAGUUGUCGCUCACCGCUGGUACUUCUGUCAGCGGUGAAUCGAAGUUCACUGCCCUUGGAGCUGACUCACUUGACACGGUUGAAAUUGUGAUGGCUCUGGAGGAGUCAUUUGGGAUCACUGUGGAAGAAGAAAAUGCCCAGACCAUCGUCACUGUGCAGGAUGCUGCUGAUUUGAUUGAGAAACUCGUGGAGGAGAAAUCUGAGUGAUAUUGUGUGUUAGUCUUAGUUUCUGCAGUUUGAUGAGUGGGUUGUGGACUGUUAGUUGAAUGUGUAAGCUAGGUUAGAGUUUAUUCUAGAACUCUGAGGUCUAUCUAUGUUAAUUUAUUUUCCUUUUUUUUUUUG
rnacentral:misc_RNA from 1 species